rnacentral:rRNA from 1 species
UACGUAGGUGGCAAGCGUUGUCCGGAUUUACUGGGCGUAAAGAGCGCGCAGGCGGUCGUUCAAGUCGAGUGUGAAAGCCCCCGGCUCAACUGGGGAGGGUCACUCGAUACUGAUCGACUCGAAGGCAGAAGAGGGAAGCGGAAUUCCCGGUGUAGUGGUGAAAUGCGUAGAUAUCGGGAGGAACACCAGUGGCGAAGGCGGCUUUCUGGCCCGAUACUGACACUCAUGUGCGACAGCGUGGGGAGCAAACAGG